CCUACGGGAGGCAGCAGUAAGGAAUAUUGGUCAAUGGACGCAAGUCUGAACCAGCCAUGCCGCGUGAAGGAUGAAGGCCUCUGGGUUGUAAACUUCUUUUAUCUGGGAAGCGGUACCAGAGGAAUAAGCACCGGCUAACUCCGUGCCAGCAGCCGCGGUAAUACGGAGGGUGCAAGCGUUAUCCGGAUUCACUGGGUUUAAAGGGUGCGUAGGUGGGUUGGUAAGUCAGUGGUGAAAUCUCCGUGCUUAACAUGGAAACUGCCAUUGAUACUACUGAUCUUGAAUUUUCAGGAGGUAAGCGGAAUAUGUCAUGUAGCGGUGAAAUGCUUAGAUAUGACAUAGAACACCAAUUGCGAAGGCAGCUUACUACAGGAAAUUGACACUGAGGCACGAAAGCGUGGGGAUCAAACAGGAUUAGAUACCCUUGUAGUC
rnacentral:rRNA from 1 species